rnacentral:rRNA from 1 species
AUACUCCUGACUGACCGAUAGUGAACCAGUACCGUGAGGGAAAGGCGAAAAGAACCCCGGCGAGGGGAGUGAAAAAGAACCUGAAACCGUGUACGUACAAGCAGUGGGAGCCUCUUAAUGGGGUGACUGCGUACCUUUUGUAUAAUGGGUCAGCGACUUAUAUUCUGUAGCAAGGUUAACCGAAUAGGGGAGCCGAAGGGAAACCGAGUCUUAACUGGGCGUUAAGUUGCAGGGUAUAGACCCGAAACCCGGUGAUCUAGCCAUGGGCAGGUUGAAGGUUGGGUAACACUAACUGGAGGACCGAACCGACUAAUGUUGAAAAAUUAGCGGAUGACUUGUGGCUGGGGGUGAAAGGCCAAUCAAACCGGGAGAUAGCUGGUUCUCCCCGAAAGCUAUUUAGGUAGCGCCUCGUGAAUUCAUCUCCGGGGGUAGAGCACUGUUUCGGCAAGGGGGUCAUCCCGACUUACCAACCCGAUGCAAACUGCGAAUACCGGAGAAUGUUAUCACGGGAGACACACGGCGGGUGCUAACGUCCGUCGUGAAGAGGGAAACAACCCAGACCGCCAGCUAAGGUCCCAAAGUCAUGGUUAAGUGGGAAACGAUGUGGGAAGGCCCAGACAGCCAGGAUGUUGGCUUAGAAGCAGCCAUCAUUUAAAGAAAGCGUAAUAGCUCACUGGUCGAGUCGGCCUGCGCGGAAGAUGUAACGGGGCUAAACCAUGCACCGAAGCUGCGGCAGCGACACUAUGUGUUGUUGGGUAGGGGAGCG